UGAUAAACCCUGUCAUAGUGGAGCAAGUUCAGGUGUUUAACCGCUGUUAUGGGGGAUCUGCCUUUUCUCCCUCUUCUUUCUUACUUCCAUAAGUAUGUAUGUGCAGAGAUUGAAAAAUAACCUUGAGAGAGUCCAUCCAUCUAACUCCAGGCUGGAGUGCAGUGGCAUGAUUUUGGCUCACUGUAUCCUCCGCCUCCCUGGCUCAAGCAAUUCCCCUGCCUCAGCCUCCCAAGUAGCUUGGAUUACAGAGGAUGAUGGCUUCCAACAGGGGUGGUCAUUUCCAAUCAGACACCUAAGAACUCCUGCUAAUGGGCAAUGAUGGAGGCACAUUCUAGAUGGAGGCACAUUCUAGAAACCCUUGAAACUGUGUGUUGCUUUGGACA
rnacentral:lncRNA from 1 species